rnacentral:tRNA from 1 species
GGAGGGCAUAGUGACGGUGGCGUCACAGUCGGCUGCUAACCGGCGAACGUUUCGGCGUUGAGGUUCGACUCCUCUGCCCUCCGCCA